AUUAAUUUAUGGUAGCACUUUAGAAAAUAAUACAAAUGAGACAUGCACAGUAAUGUCUAAAGUAAACACAAAAAUAAACACAUAGAACAAUAUUAACGUGCAUUCUCUAUCAAGACAGUUAUACUAUAGUUAGGCAAUGCAUAAAAUCAAUAGAAAGCCUUGUGAACUCACCAAAUAUAGCCCCCUACAGUAUUUCAUGUCAGUUUUCAUUAGCUCAGUACAGUAAAGUUACAGACUGUAAGGUGCAGCAAGUCUGAUUACUUUCCAAAGUUAGAAGUAACUAACAUUGUUUUCUAUUUGGGGCUUGUGAAUUACUGCAUUCGGGAAGAAGACAAGAUUAUUCACGAACAGCACACGUUAGGUAGAGAGGAAAAGAAACGUGAAAUCAAUACUCCCCUAUAAUUUACACAGCAAUCUUCAGAAGGUUUUUUUUUUCCCCACCAUCCACCUUUAUAAAAAAAUAAUCUAAAUUCUUUGAAGACAAACAAAAUCCAUCUCCGUUGUAGAGUGGGAAGGCAUCAACCAUAAUGAGAGAGAACUACUGCCUGUCUUGACACUAGAUCUCACUGUCCAUUGGUGAUUUCCAUCCCAG